AAACAAGAAGAGAAGAAAAAGAAAGAAGCUGCACAGAAAAAGUGAAGCUGAGGCUUAUCCCAUCUGGUGAAAGGCAGGGUAUAACCUCGACAGAUCGCCAGGCCAUUGCAGGGUUUUAGAAAAACAUCCAUGCAUGCACGCAGCCUCUCUCCUAAGACCACAGAACAGAUAACCAAAGGUAAGUGUUUGAAGUUUCAAAAACCUGUUUUGUUACUCUUUAAGAGCAAAAUGUUGUUGUUUUUACACAUAAAAAGCUUAGUCUACUGUGCUUUCUGCUUUGUAAAUAAGAAGCAAACUUACUUUAAGGAUAAGAAAUUGUAUUUUUGUCUCCUUAGAUAGAGGCGCUUUGAAAAUCCCAGAGAGCCACUGUUUGAUCUCUGUGUGAGAAUAAAAAGCAUGAAGCUGAAUUAAGGUGAAACAUUUAAAGUUGAAAAUGAAAAUAUCUGGAGCCGGGUGGUCGGAACCGCCUGAGCUGAAUGUGGAUGAUGUAGGGAUGAUGCAGCUCCUCCUCAGGUCUCCCUGUCGGCUCCACAGGCUUACCUAGGAGAACGGAGGUGAGAAAGAAUCUCAGAAUAAAAGAAAAAAUAAAUCAAAUAACAAACAAUACAAAUGCAUAAAGGGAAUUGCCUUAGAAGACGUUGUGAAGAAGACUGGGCUUAGCUUGCAGGUUUUAAACUCUGGUUCUGUUAAAGCUUCACUAUUUAUUUUUGUCUCCUCAGGCCAGUGUUUGUAAAAAAAAAAAAAAAAAAAAAAAAUCCUUUUAUUGGGCUGAGCAAGCAUGUUUGGAGCCGGUCUCUGUUUCAGGACAGACGGGGGGGAGAAAAAUUCGAUUAGACCUUCAGGCAGUUGUUGACAGCAAGGCAUUAAUACAGCAAAAUUAGCUGUGAAUGUUGAAAUUUUCUACCGUUCAGAUAAGUGUUUGUUGCAGUGGUUAAAACUCUUUUUUUGUAACUAGGAGAAACCUUAUUUGUGCCUUUAUUACAUUAUAUCACAACUUUUAAGCAAAGAAAAGCCUCUCUCUAGUAAAUAACUAUUGAGAAACACAACAGCAUGUCAUGGCCUAAUAUUAGAAUUGUUUUCAUGUCGGAGAGAGGAAGGAAAUGAUUAAUGGUUUUAAUGAUUGACCAUAUUUAAAAAAAACAAGUAAGAAUUUUAUAUUCACACUAUUUAUUUUUGUAUUUAUUUAUUUAGUUUUACUUGAAUACUUGCCCUAAUUAUCUUGCAUCCACUAAUCAGGGUAUUUGUAAGACUGGAGCGGUAUGGAUUUUUUUCCUGUCCGCUGUAGUUUAUAUGAUGCCCUCCGAUCUAUACGGUCUAAGAAGAAACUUACAAUGCAGGAAUAAUUGCAGCAUUUCUUCCACAGUUUAUUUCAAGAAGUUUCUUAAACUGCUUCAGAAAGGUGAAUCAAGCCAGUAACGCAAGACCAUAUUCUGCAUUACUUUGUUACAAGGGCUGAAACAAUUAAUUGGAUUAAUUUUGGAUAAUCGAUCAUUGAAAUAAUUAACUAAUUUAGUAAUCGAAUAAUUAACCGGAGUAUACUUUAAACAUGACAUGUGAUGUAAGAACAACACCAUCAAAACAGUAAUUAAGCUAAAAUUGUACAAAAAAACAUGCCAGAACUCCUCAUCUGGCAUAGUUUUAGCGUCACCCGUUUCAAAUUACUUAAAAAAAAAAAUUAAUUUUUUUUGCUGUCUAAUUACUUACCAGUUUAUCAAAAAAAAAAAACAAGUCAAUUACAGAAAGGGCUGAGCUGUUCACAUGUUGCCUAAAAACCUUUAGACAACUCAUUUGUCUUAUUUAAAAAAGGAAUUGAAUUAUUACUAAAACGUUUAAGUGAUUAAAUAAAAAAUUUGCAGACUGUUCCAUUUUUUUAUUCGAUUACUUGAUUAAUCGUCCAAUACUCGCUUACUAACGUAAUCGUUAGCUUCAGCCCGGUUCUUACAGUUAACACAGCACUAACGAUAUUUAGAAAAAAACAUUAACAGAUUUCUUGAAGGUGAAUUAUAUUUUGGACUAGCAACUUAAAAAUAUAGAUUGUUUGUGAUAGUAAUUUAGGGUAGACUGGGAGCUAAUUAGGACAAUGAGGAAAGUGUGGGGGAUGAAUAAACAUGCAUCCGUCCUCUGGAGGUUUCCAGCAGCACCCGAAGCAUCUUAAUAAUGUAACUGCUUCCAUCUCCUGUCUGGUCUGGCAGAGAGGCCCACCCUGGGAGCAGAAGAAAGGGAGGGCUGCAAGGAAAAGGUUGAAAUUAUUAUAUUUUUUUUUUUUGCUGUUUGGUGCGAAGCAAAGAGAAGGUGAAUGCUGAAACGUGGGGGCUCAGGUUGAUCUGAGGGAGCAGGGAGAAAACUGUGUGCGAGAGCAAAAGAAACAGAUGGAGCUACGUGAAACUGAGACUGAACUCCAGUUUCCUGUUUGCCGACACAGCUGAGGGGGCCCGUUGUGGGUUGUUUCUCCUGGCCCACUUCUGUAACAGACAUGCAAACACAUGCUGCCUCUCUGUUCCAGUCCCUUAAUGUAACAGUCAAAUAUAGAUUUUUUUUUUGUUUUUCUUACUCGCUGUGUUUCCGAAAACACUCAAAACACCCAAGAUGUUGACAUGAGUUCAAACAUUAUCUGAAGCGUUGAGCUGAUUGCUGCUCAUUAGCUUCUGCUGCAGAAUUGACGGUUGCACAAGCAAUCCUUAUCCCCAGUGUUCAGGUCCUAAUGUUCUGCAUGAUUUAGUUUAUGACAUGUUUUCACACACCUGCGUCAUUAACAAGCUUCUGCACACCUUGUCAACACUGAGGAGGUAAUCUAAUCAACUGAUGGCUUUUAUUUUGCUGCUUAUUAUGAAGCCAAAAAGAAGGAAGUAAUGCAGUGUGUUGCUGAACUAUAUAUACUUUUUAAAGUUUUCGAUAAUUUGACAUUGCAACCACAGAUUUCAAUAAUGCUGUGACAGAGCAACACAAAAGUUGUGCAUAUGGAAUAUAACGCCUAGUUUUCAACUUCAUGUUUUAAACAAAGUGCUUAACACUGUUGUUUUUUUUUUUUUGUUCUCAACCUCAUUUAAUCUGUUGAAUAAAAUCCAGUCCAGCAGAAAUAGUCCACCUGCGUGUUAUUCAAACUCACUAUAAAUACGUCUGUCCUUUGAAGGCCUCAGAGGGUUUGUUAGAGAACAAAGAACGUCUUAAAGCUCAAGGAUCUCAGCAGACAGGUUUGGGAUAAAGUCGAGCAUCUCACUAUAAAAUGGAAAUAAUCUGACACAACUGCAAAGCUGUUAACCAGUGGCUAAACACCUUAACUGAGACCUAAGGAGCGCAUUAGGAAGGAGCAUGAGUGAUGGCGUUGCUGCAGUCAAAGAAGGAGCUCUGUUCAGAUGACACUUGAAAACUGUUUAUCUCAGUUGAUCUCUAUCUGAGUGAACUGGCAAAGA